GACGAACGCUGGCGGCGUGCUUAACACAUGCAAGUCGAACGGAAAGGCCCUGCUUGCAGGGUACUCGAGUGGCGAACGGGUGAGUAACACGUGGGUGAUCUGCCCUGCACUUCGGGAUAAGCCUGGGAAACUGGGUCUAAUACCGGAUAGGAGCCAUCUUUAGUGUGGUGGUUGGAAAGUUUUUUCGGUGUAGGAUGAGCUGGCGGCCUAUCAGCUUGUUGGUGGGGUAAUGGCCUACCAAGGCGGCGACGGGUAGCCGGCCUGGGAGGGUGGACGGCCACAUUGGGGCUGGGGUACGGCCCAGACUCCUACGGGAGGCAGCAGGGGGGAAUAUUGCACAAAUGGCGGAAGCCUGAUGCAGCGACGCCGCGGGGGGGAUGACGGCCUUCGGGUUGUAAACUCCUUUCGCUAGGGACGAAGCUUUUUGUGACGGUACCUAGAGAAGAAGCACCGGCUAACUACGUG
rnacentral:rRNA from 1 species